UGAACAGGCGAGCCUAUGGAACUUGCUGGGU
rnacentral:piRNA from 1 species